rnacentral:rRNA from 1 species
CAAAAUGGGAGGUAAAUUUCUCCUAAGGCUAAAUAUUGGCGAGAGACCGAUAGCGAACAAGUACCGUGAGGGAAAGAUGAAAAGAACUUUGAAAAGAGAGUAAAAUAGUACGUGAAAUUGUUGAAAGGGAAACGAUUGAAGUCAGUCGUACCGACGGAAAAUCAGCUCUUUAGUGCGGACUUGUGGGCUUACGUGAGUUUUAACACCUCGCUGUUUGCAACGUUCGUGUUUUUUGGGUGUACUUUUUCGUAUGGUAGGCCAAUGUCAGUUUCGAUCGCUAUAAAAUGACCGGCGGAAUGUAGCUUCGAUCUUGUAUUGAAGUGUUAUAGCCUCUGGUAGAUGUGGUGAUCGGGACUGAGGAUUGCAACGAAUACCUUUUGGGCUAUCCGUCUGAUCUCUGAAGGUUGCUUAGGUGCCGAAAGCGUGCUUACGGUUAUUUAAGUUGACAGUCAAAAGGUUAGAACGUGACUAUA